rnacentral:rRNA from 1 species
CCUACGGGCGGCUGCAGUGGGGAAUAUUGGACAAUGGGGGGAACCCUGAUCCAGCGACGCCGCGUGAGUGAAGAAGUAUUUCGGUAUGUAAAGCUCUAUCAGCAGGGAAGAAAGAAAUGACGGUACCUGACUAAGAAGCCCCGGCUAAAUACGUGCCAGAAGCCGCGGUAAUACGUAGGGGGCAAGCGUUAUCCGGAUUUACUGGGUGUAAAGGGAGCGUAGACGGGGAUGCAAGUCUGAAGUGAAAGGCGGGGGCUCAACCCCCGGACUGCUUUGGAAACUGUAUGGCUGGAGUGCAGGAGAGGUAAGUGGAAUUCCUAGUGUAGCGGUGAAAUGCGUAGAUAUUAGGAGGAACACCAGUGGCGAAGGCGGCUUACUGGACUGUAACUGACGUUGAGGCUCGAAAGCGUGGGGAGCAAACAGGAUUAGAUACCCGAGUAGUC